AUUUUAUUUUACUUUUAAAAAUUUUACAAAAAAUGGAAAUUUUUUCUUGUUGCUUGAAUAUUAACUAUUCAAUUAAAAUGAAAUAUUACAACUAUAACAGGCUUUUUAGUGUUCAAAUUCAAAUUCGUUGGAACAAAAGAGGCCCGGAUGGGUACUGACCAGACCAAGCCAUGAGAAUAAGAGGGUCCUUUCGAACAAAAUCAAGACAAAGAAAAGAGGUCUUCUUUAUUUUUCUUGAUAUUCUUGGCUCUUCUGAGCCCUUCCUAAAAAAUGGGAAUUUUUUCUUGUUGCUUGAAUAUUAACUAUUCAAUUAAAAUGAAAUAUUACAACUAUAACAGGCUUUUUAGUUUUCGAAUUAAAAUUCGUUGGAACAAAAGAGGCCCGGCUGGGUACUGACCAGACCAGGCCAUGAGAAUAAGAGGGUCCUUUCGAACAAAAUCAAGAUGAA
rnacentral:lncRNA from 1 species